UGGGGAAUUUUGCACAAUGGGGGGAACCUUGAUGCAGCGACGCCGCGUGAGGGAUGGAGGCCUUCGGGUUGUGAACCUCUUUCGCUCGUGUGCAAGCCGCUAUUUGGGUAGUGGUGAGUGUAGCGGGUAAAGAAGCGCCGGCUAACUACGUGCCAGCAGCCGCGGUAAUACGUAGGGCGCGAGCGUUGUCCGGAUUUAUUGGGCGUAAAGGGCUUGUAGGCGGUUUGUCGCGCCUGUCGUGUAAUCCUCUGGCUUAACUGGGGGUGUGCGGUGGGUACGGGCAAGCUUGAGUGCGGUAGGGGAGAUUGGAAUUCCUGGUGUAGCGGUGGAAUGCGCAGAUAUCAGGAGGAACCCCGGUGGCGAAGGCGGGUCUCUGGGCCGUUACUGACGCUGAGGAGCGAAAGCGUGGGGAGCGAACAGG
rnacentral:rRNA from 1 species